rnacentral:rRNA from 1 species
UACGGGGGGUGCGAGCGUUGUUCGGAAUCAUUGGGCGUAAAGCGCGCGCAGGCGGCUCUUUAAGUCUACGGGUGAAAUGCCGGGGCUCAACCCCGUGCCUGCCCGAGAUACUGGAGGGCUAGAGACACGUAGAGGCAAGCGGAAUUCCGGGUGUAGCGGUGGAAUGCGUAGAGAUCCGGAAGAACACCGGAGGCGAAGGCGGCUUGCUGGGCGUGAUCUGACGCUGAGGCGCGAAAGCGUGGGGAGCGAACAGG